UUUUUUUUUUUUUUUUGAGGAAGAUUAGCCCUGAGCUAACAUCUGCUGCCAAUCCUCCUCUUUUUGCUGAGGAAGAUUGGCCCUGAGCUAACAUCCGUGCCCAUCUUCCUCUGCUUUAUAUGUGGGACGCCUGCCACAGCACGGCUUGACAAGCAGUGCCAUGUCCGCACCGGGAUCCGAACUGGCGGACACCGGGCCGCCAAAGCGGAAACGUGCGAACUUAACUGCUGGGGCUGCAUAAGUUUUUGAAUCUUCUUGAAUCACCAUAUAAAAAACAAAGUAACUGGUUAAAACUAAAGACCUAGGGAUAACACUCACAAGAAAACUAGGUGACAAAAUGCACGCGCUAACAAUCAUCAUGUGUUACAAGAUGUGUGUGGGAGAGAGCAGAGGGGAAGCCACAGGGCGUCUGAUGGACCCGAGAAAUUAUGAGGAAACGUCAGACACGAUGGAAAACACGAAGGGUCAAUUCCAGAGCAGGAGCUAACCCUGGCCGGUGUUUGCCCAUCGCAAUAGUGGAGGAGAAGAAAGGGCGUCAGGGUAAAGCCUAAAAGGACAGGUGCCCUCAAGACUCUUUGAACAUGAAAUCCUGAAACCAAGUAGCCUAUGUGCCAUUUAAGGACAGUGCCCCACAUUGAGGGAAACUUCUAGGAGAGGAAUAAAAGUUAAGAUAGAGAUAAAAAAAAUAAAUUAAAAAAAGAGAAGGUUCAGAUAAAAGCGGGAAAGGAGAAAAGAUACAGAAAAUCUUAAAAAACUAUUUUAUUUAUUUUUUUCCUUUUUCUCCCCAAAGACCCCUGGUACAUAGUUGUGUAUUUUUUGUUGUGGGUCCUUCUAGUUGUGGCAUGUGGGACGCCACCUCAGCAUGGCUUGAUGAAAAGUGCCAUGUCCGCGCCCAGGGUCUGAACAGGCAAAAUCCUGGGCCUCCGAAGCGGAGCGCUCCAACGUAACCACUCUGCUCUGGGGGCGGCCCCAGAAAACUAUUUUAAAAAAUAAACUUUUAAUUUUAGAAUGCAGACUGCCACUUUUUGACACUACAUGAGCACAAUGGAAGAGGGAGCUCUGUGAAGUUAAAAAAGCUAUUUGAACAAAAGUCAGGAAAACUAAACUCAUAUCAACAAAAUCAACAGAAAAGUAUCAAGGUCAGAGUUUCUAUGAGGAAAAGGAAUAAGCAGCAUUAUAAUAAACCUACAGACAAUGAGAGCACACCAGAGAGUCAUGCUCAAAAAGGAGAUCAAAAUAUAGCAUUCUGUUUCAAAACAAGAGAUUAAAGAACAACGUAAAUCAGAAUUUGAAAAACAAAGGAAUAAGAUGGCAGAACUAGAGAAUUAUAAAUUUAAAGAAUUAUUUGAGAAAUGAAGACUCAGUCAGGAGAAAAUGCAAGGGGGAAACACAAUGAAUAAUACCUUAAGAUAAACAGAAGGAGAAAUGGAAGAAUUCAAAAAAUAGCUUUUUUAUUUGGGAAUAAUUUUAGAUUUACAGAAAAGUUGCAAAGAUAGUACAGAGAAUUCUUGUAUACUCUUCACCCGGCUCACCCUAAUCUUAACAUAACUGUAGUGCAUUUGUUAAAGCUAAGAGACUAACAUUGAUAUGACAUUAUGAGCAAAACUACAGACUUUAUUUAGAUUUCACCAGUUUUUUUCAGUAAUGUCCUUUUUCUGUUCCAGCAUCCAAAGUUAUUUACUUUGGAAGACAAUACACAGACACUUAACAACAUAAUAUUUGCAAUGCUCAGCAUUAAAAAAUUACCAGUUAUGAGAAGAAGCAAGAACCAUAAGUAGGAGAAGAAGUAGUCAAUAAAAACAGAUGUAGAUCUUAAAGAAAUAAUGGAAUUUGCAGAAAAGAACAGUUAAAGAAUCAUUAUAAAUAUGUUGAAGUAUUUAAAGAGUAACAUGAACAUAAUGAGGAAGGAAGUAAUAGAUAUAUGAAAGAAUGAAAUGGAAAUUCCAGAGUUGACAAAUACAAUGGGUAAAAUGAAAAAUUUACUGGAUGGGCUUAACAGACCGGACAUUGUGAAGAGAUCAGUGAACAUGAAGACAGAGCAAUAGAAACUAUCCAAAACUGUGAUACAGAGGAGACAAAAAAGACUGAAAAAAUGAUUAGAGCCUCUGUCCCCUAUGGGACAGUAACAAGUGGUCUAAUAUGGGUGUAAUUGGAGGCCUAACGUAGGGCAGGGGCCAAAGAAAUGAACGCAGAAAAAAUGUUCAUAUUUAAUAAAAACUGUAAAUCCACAGGCACAAGAAAUGCAACAAACCCCAGGCAGGAAACAUAUAAAGUAAACCACACCGAGAUUCAGCAUAACCAAAUUCUUCACAGCCAGCGACAAGAAAAAAUCUUAAACUCAGCCAGAGAAACUCAGAAAGAGAUACAUUACAUAUGGGGCGACAAAGACAACAGUGACUGCAAAAACAAACGAUUGUUUCUAACCACAUCGUUAAAGUACUAAAAGAAAAAUCUGUCAACCUAGAAUUGUGUAUCCAUUUAAAAAUGAAGGUAAAAUAAAGACUUUUUCAGACAAAUAAAAGCUGAGAGUUUGGAACUAUCACCUACCCUACAAAAAUGUUAAAAGUAGUUCUUAAGGAUAAAGAAAUGUGAUACCACGUGGAAACUUGGAGCUACACAAAGGCAAGCAGAGUGGAGGAAAUAGUAAACAUGUGAGUAUUUCUACAAGAAUUGUUCUUCAUUUUAACAUUUUAUUAAAAGAUAAUUCACUAUUUUAAAAUAAUAACAGGAGCCAGCCCGGUGGCGCAGCAGUUAAGUGCGCAUGUUCCACCUCUUGGCGGCCCGGGGUUCGCUGGUUCGGAUCCCGGGUGUGGACAAGGCGCUGCUUGGCACGCCAUCCUGUGGUAGGCGUCCUACCUAUGAAGUAGAGGAAGAUGGGCACAGAUGUUAGCUCAGGGC
ensembl:lncRNA